UUGACCUCGGAUCAGGUAGGAUUACCCGCUGAACUUAAGCAUAUCAAUAAGCGGAGGAAAAGAAACCAACAGGGAUUGCCCCAGUAACGGCGAGUGAAGCGGCAACAGCUCAAAUUUGAAAUCUGGCCCUCGGGUCCGAGUUGUAAUUUGGAGAGGAUGCUUUUGGCGCGGCGCCGUCCGAGUUCCUUGGAACAGGACGCCAUAGAGGGUGAGAGCCCCGUACGGGCGGCCGCCUAGCCUUUGUAAAGCUCCUUCGACGAGUCGAGUAGUUUGGGAAUGCUGCUCAAAAUGGGAGGUAAAUUUCUUCUAAAGCUAAAUACCGGCCAGAGACCGAUAGCGCACAAGUAGAGUGAUCGAAAGAUGAAAAGCACUUUGAAAAGAGGGUUAAAAAGUACGUGAAAUUGUUGAAAGGGAAGCGCCUGUGACCAGACUUGCGGCCCGUGGAUCAUCCGGUGUUCUUCACCGGUGCACUCCGCGGGCUGCAGGCCAGCAUCGGUUUUCCUAGGGGGAUAAAGGUCGCGGGAACGUAGCUCCCUCGGGAGUGUUAUAGCCCGUGGCGUCAUGCCUCUGGGGGGACCGAGGACCGCGCUUCGGCAAGGAUGCUGGCGUAAUGGUCACCGGCGA
rnacentral:rRNA from 1 species